UAAGAAACUUUUUUUCUUGCCUUCCCACUUCAAAAAAAAAAAAAAAGAUGAAGGGCGAAGACAAAAAAGGAAAGGAAAGAAAGGAGAACUAAUUUGAUUAAAGCAGGAAGAGAGAAUAACAAGGAAGAAAAAAUUAUGUCAAAUCAAACUCCUCAGGUCUGUUCCAUCCAUUCAUCUGCUCGCUACAAGAGGAGAUCCUGUUGUUCACGGCCUGUUCACGAAAGCCCACCCUGCUUCUCCUCUGUGUACCCACAAUAGAUAAAGUUGUUAAGAGACAGAGAUAUGGAACAGCAAAAUAUUAUUAAAGGAG
rnacentral:lncRNA from 10 species